rnacentral:lncRNA from 1 species
AGAACAGAGGAAAGGCUCCAAGGCCCAGGCCUCGGGGGAGCAGACACAGGACUCAGGGUCUGGCUCCUUACUCCAGAGGAGCCCCCCACUCCGCCAAGAGGUGCCCCUGGACCCCUCAGCCCUCAUCCUCUUCCUGACCCACAGAGGGCUGGAGUGCACUCCCACUCCCUCCCAGAGCUGCCCCACUGCACUCUGGACUGGCUGAGCUGGAGAGGAUGAUCACGCGGGGCCUCCAGAGUCCCUACCACCAGGUCUGCGAGCUCAUUUGCCUGGAGAACUCACACAGCAUCUCGGGGGUCCGGAUCCUCCCCAUCAACUACCUACGCCAGGUAGGCCCAGCCCCACCACUGUGUGCCCCCCACCAGCCUGAUCCUGGCUUCCUGUGCCCCUGGCCCAUCCUGGGGUUCAGUCCCCUCUGAUUUAUGCCAUGGGCACCCAUCAGCGGCCAGACCUGUCACAGGAAGGACACAUGUGUGGUCCUAGGCUGAGACACAAAGGGAAUUAUUACCCCAGGUCAGGGCCCCUAGUCCCUGCACCAGCCCAACAGCAGAGAUGCCCCCACCCCCAAGUCCCCAGAGCUGAGUCCC